UGACCGCCUUUCCCACCCGAAAGGCCAAGGCUACACGGACGGCCGGGUCAAAUGCCGA
rnacentral:sRNA from 1 species